AAUUUUUAAUGUAUGAUGUGUAUGCUAAUAAGAAUUUUUUGUGUCUGUUUUGGUGAGCUUAAAUGGAGUGCUUGUUUAUACGAAUGUCACAAGUGGAGCUGACAUAGAUUUAUCAGCUAGUAAAUCAAGGUACAGUUCAAAGUGGUUGUUGUUUUAUUGAUUGUCAGUUUGAGUUUGGUAUAUAGUUAAGUGUAUAGAUUAGUUAACUGAGCAUCAAAACUAAUUGUUUUUACUGUUAUCUGUGAUUAAUGUUUGGUAAAUGUUGAUGAGGACAGUUUUUUUGAGAUAAAUGUUUGGUAUGUUCUUUGAGAUAAAUGCUUGUUAUCAAUGCUUAGUUGGUUUAGAUUAGGUAAAUAUUGUUAUCACUAGUGAUAAAUUCAUCUUCAUUAAACAAAGUCUAACAUUUUCAUUCUUCUUCAACCUUCAGUUUUCUCUGAAUGUCUCAUUUUAACUCCCACAACCACUAAAAAAUGGAUGAUAUGAAUCCAUUUUAUGAGUUUUCGAGUUUCAUCAAACUAUUGCAUAGUAAACAAGAAGACAUCAAUUGGUAUGCGAGUUGAUCAUUUGAAGUCACUACCUUUAGUGCACAAUUAUCUAAUGAAUGAAGUGAAGAUGAAGCCACAUUCAUGGUAAUGCAAGUUCCCAACCAAUCAAUGUUGAAGAUGAUGGAAUAAUGAGUCGCCUCCUUGUGUGAAGGCAACAAAAGCGAAAGGAAAAUAAUUAUCCACUGUUAAAGGAGAAGCAGGCCAGUCAGUGGAAUAAUUUCAAAGUUUAUGGAAGUUUAAGAAGAAGGAUUGAGAUAGCAAAGAGAAGCACAUCAAGCAUCAGAUGCUUGAAAGUCUACUUUCAAGAACCGAUCCUCUAUUAGACAUUAACUUGGCCCUAAAGAAUAAGCUAAUCACAGAUUUUUGGUCCUAAAUUUUAAGUUUUAAUUUGGAGCUCCUUCUUU
rnacentral:lncRNA from 1 species